UUCUUUUUUUUUUUUUUGGCCACACUGCGUGGCAUGUGGGAUCUUAGUUCCCCAACCAGGGGUGGAACCCGGGCCCCAGCAGUGAGAGUGUGGAGUCUUAACCACUGGACCACCAGGGAAUUCCCCAGAUAAUUUUUCCAUGAAGAGUCCUUUCUAAGCUUGUUUACAUGUUUAUAAAAUGGAGAUAGUGAUUCCUUCCUAUCAGGGCUGCUGUGAGAAUUAAAAGAGACUGGUGAGCAUGCCUGACACUGACUGGUUACAGAAGAUGGUCCAUAAACAUUUGGAACAUUCCGUGUUCAUGGUCCAUAAACCAUGUUACAGAAGAUGGUCCAUAAACAUUUGGAACAUCUUUCAUCUAGUUCUUUUAAAAAAUCAACUCCGUCUACUUAUUCAGCUUUUAAGCAUCCUUACUGAGUUUUCCAUCAUUUCCAGCUGUUUUUUUUUUAAAUUAAUUUAUUUUUGCUGUGUUGGGUCUUCAUUUCUGUGCGAGGGCUUUCUCUAGUUGGGGCAAGCGGGGGCCACUCACUAUCGCGGCCUCUCGUUGCGGAGCACAGGCUCCAGACGCGCAGGCUCAGUAGUUGUGGUUCACGGGCCCAGUUGCUCAGCGGCAUGUGGGAUCCUCCCAGACCAAGGCUCAAAUCCAUGUCCUCUGCAUUGGCAGGCAGACUCUCAACCACUGUGCCACCAGGGAAGCCCUCCAGCUGUUUUUAAAGCUGGCUCAUGAUGGUCAGAAGGGUAGCCUUCUGGUGUGACAUUCCUUUCUAGAGAUGCUCCUCUCCAGUCAAUGGAAAACAAUAAGCUAAUGUCCCCAUUCAACUAGAUACACUGCUAAUGAGUAACAACCACAAUAUAUUAGAUUCCUUCCACUUGAGAUGCUUGAAAAAGGAGGGCAAGUGAUGGCUAGGGGUGGAAUUUUUGUGGACAGUAUUUACACUAUUAGGUGUAUCCUCAAACUCAUGAGAGGUGACUGUAGAGGAUGAAAGAGCUAAUCUCACAGGAGGAAGUGACCUGGAAGGAAAGGAGCCCAUUGUACUGCCAAAGGCUUGGAGAAGGACUGCCCCGCCAUCCCUUCCAGAUCUCUCUUGGAUUGUACCCUUAGAACUAAGGGGAAGUUCAGCUUCCUGCAGAGGGCACUCUCUGUGUGAAUCCAUGUUUGGUAGCACCCUAGAUAGCUGCUAUCAUGCUGCCAUGCAAAGGACAUUUAUUUGUGUAGCUUUUUUUUUUUUUUUUUUAGCCGCGACACGUGGCUUGCGGGAUCUUAAUUCCCCGACCAGGGAUCGAACCUGUGUCCCACUGCAGUGGAAGCACAGAGUCCUAACAACUGGACCGCCAGGGAACUCCCUGUUUAGCAUUUAGAAAGAAGAGGUGGACUCAAAAGUUGAAGGAAGUACCGCGUGGAUGGAGCCCACAGUUACUGCCCCUUCAUGCGAUUCAGCAAAGUUCCUGAAAACGGGUCAGCAAAAGGGCACUGUUUUCCCAAAGCUACCAUCCCCAGUCACAACACCUUUUAGCGUCAGAGCUCAUCUUCCAGGUCCUCGUCUAUGCUGACCUUCCCAGGAGAGGUCAGAAUCAGGGAACAUGGGUCCUGUUUUAGAAAUUUCUUUUAAGGCAAGUGGCAGGAAGAUCUUUAGCUGUGAAUGGGCAGAAACAGGAAAAGAAUCGAGGAUUCCUGGUUUCAAGUUCAGAUUCUCCACCACCCUUUGAACACAGGGGCUCCAGGAAGAAUAGACAUUCUUGUCCCAGCUGUCGUGGAACAGGAUGUAGAAGUUGGGGCUCCUAGCUGACUCAUUAGUACCUCUUCUUCCCUUUCAACCCUCUGCCACAGCCUCGCAGGGGCUCCUUGCUCAUGCAUCCUGACUACUCACAUCAGCCCUCAUCAUCUCAGACAAAGGAGAGACGUGGGCACUAAGGAAAGAAAUAGCAGGAGGGAAUGGAGGGGAGAUGUCAUUCUGCUUCAUACUCACCUGCCACCUCCCCAGCGUGUGGCUGAAAGACGAGAACUCUGAUGCUUUUCUGAGGACACAACAGGAAGACAUCACAGAAAAGCCCCGGGGCUGGAGACACAGGCCAGAUACUCACUCAGGACAGAACGGAGAGGCAGAACACUCCAACUUCAGAUCCCACAGGUGGAGACGGCACUGAGGAGACGAAAGCUGACCUGAGCCAGGCUCUGGUAUGGCCGUGUGCGACUUGGGGUGACAAGAAGGAACUGACUCCGACCCAAGGGCUGCAGACACCUCAGAGGAACUCGAGUUUGGUAGCAGAAGAUCUCAUGGCUGAGAGCAUUCUCUCUUCAGGUCCACUGGGUAAUGUCAGCGAUUGUGGUCUCAAGAUCCAAUCACCCGGUGAAAGCCGCAAGGCAAUUCAGUCCCAGAUGACUCCGAAGAAGCACAAAUGGGAUGAUAAGACACAUUGUUUUUCGAGUUUCUUUCUUCAACUACCAUUUCUUGGAGAGCUUUCCAGGGUAGGAAAACUAAUUAUUGUCAUCCUAUCAAUUCUUCCCAAAAUAUAUCUAUGAAUUCAGUGUAAACAUAGUCAUGAACCUCAACAGGAUUGUGCCAUGAAAUCAGCAGACCGAAGAGACUCUAUGUGGAAACAUCCAUGAUAGUGAGCUGUUUCAAGGUAUGAAAAUCUACAUUAUAGAUUUAGCAGUUAAAACAGGAAUCAAACAUUUGUCAAUGGAACAGAACAGAGAUUCUUGACACAGACCCAUGUAUAUAACAGAAUGAAGGAAAUGAUAAAGUUGACAUUUCAAAUCAGACUUUGCCCCAAAGCAAGGUCUUAUGACCACUGCUGGAAAGAAGUGUGUGUGGUGGGGAGGUGGCCAGGGGGCAGGGAGAGAGGCCCCACGGUCCACUGGAUUAAGUGGGUUUCAUCAUCUAUUUCAGGCCACCCCGGUCGUGCUC